CGUAGGAGGCGAGCGUUGUCCGGAGUUACUGGGCGUAAAGCGCGCGCAGGCGGCCCUGUGCGCUGCCGGUGAAAGCUCCCGGCUUACCUGGGAGAGGUUCGGCAGGACGGCAGGGCUGGAGGGUGGGAGAGGUCGGUGGAAUUCCCGGUGUAGUGGUGAAAUGCGUAGAGAUCGGGAGGAACACCCGUAGCGAAGGCGGCCGACUGGACCACACCUGACGCUGAGGCGCGAAGGCCAGGGGAGCGAACGGG
rnacentral:rRNA from 1 species